rnacentral:rRNA from 1 species
CGGACGGGUGAGUAAUGCUUAGGAAUCUGCCUAUUAGUGGGGGACAACAUUUCGAAAGGAAUGCUAAUACCGCAUACGCCCUACGGGGGAAAGCAGGGGAUCUUCGGACCUUGCGCUAAUAGAUGAGCCUAAGUCGGAUUAGCUAGUUGGUGGGGUAAAGGCCUACCAAGGCGACGAUCUGUAGCGGGUCUGAGAGGAUGAUCCGCCACACUGGGACUGAGACACGGCCCAGACUCCUACGGGAGGCAGCAGUGGGGAAUAUUGGACAAUGGGGGGAACCCUGAUCCAGCCAUGCCGCGUGUGUGAAGAAGGCCUUUUGGUUGUAAAGCACUUUAAGCGAGGAGGAGGAGCUCUAGAUUAAUACUCUAGAUGCUUGGACGUUACUCGCAGAAUAAGCACCGGCUAACUCUGUGCCAGCAGCCGCGGUAAUACAGAGGGUGCAAGCGUUAAUCGGAUUUACUGGGCGUAAAGCGUGCGUAGGUGGUCUUUUAAGUCGGAUGUGAAAUCCCUGAGCUUAACUUAGGAAUUGCAUUCGAUACUGGGAGACUAGAGUAUGGGAGAGGAUGGUAGAAUUCCAGGUGUAGCGGUGAAAUGCGUAGAGAUCUGGAGGAAUACCGAUGGCGAAGGCAGCCAUCUGGCCUAAUACUGACACUGAGGUACGAAAGCAUGGGGAGCAAACAGGAUUAGAUACCCUGGUAGUCCAUGCCGUAAACGAUGUCUACUAGCCGUUGGGGNCCUUUGAGGCUUUAGUGGCGCAGCUAAC